AGGAGUUUAGAAUGAAUCGUUUAUAACGGAUCAUUUAACGAGUCGUUUGUGACAUUGGGGAAAAAAAGGUUGUCCUUUAUGAUGUGGAAUUGUGCCUGUGACAGCAAAGUCACAGUGUAAAGCCGGUGCAAAAUCCUGUAAAUUCAGGGGGGAUGUUUGUAUCCUACUACAUCUCCUGAGUUGUACCGAAUGGACAGACGAAUCUGCAUAUUUGGAAGUUGCAUUUAUGCCAAUUCAGGACACACCCAUGUACACUGAGAUCACCCUGGACUGAUAUGUCUGUAAAGGAAGGACAGAAUUCUGCUCACGCCUUCCUUUAAUGUGCCAGUAGGGACAUCAUAAACCACUGCACACACAUGUGUGUGUGUGUGUGUGUGAGAAAUUACACAUAUGGAUCCUCAGCGUGUGAAUUUGUGAAGCAGGAACAGCCAGGCGAUGGCUACCACAGUCGGGUGCUCUACAGAAAUGUUCCACUGUAUGGAUUGCUGUAAGGAUACUUACGCCAUAUUUUACCUACAUGUUAAAUAUGCUUACUGGUCACUUAAAGUAUAUUUAAACAUUAUAUACUUGUAUAUUCGUCAUCCUGUAAUCUAUAUGCUACAAAAG
ensembl:lncRNA